rnacentral:lncRNA from 1 species
CAAGUUAGAAGCACAAAUAAGACAGUUAGCUGAGUCUAUCAUGAGGAGAGAAUCAGGUCAAUUGUUGAGCCAAUCGAUACCAAAUCCCAGAAACAACCAACCCAAUGUCCACCAACCAUUUGGACCUAGUCAUCAAUCCAAUGUCCUGCCUAAGAAUCUUCAAUUUGAGAAUGCUAAAGUAAUUUUUGAGCUUAGAAGUGGUAGAAU